UACGUAGGGUGCAAGCGUUGUCCGGAAUUACUGGGCGUAAAGAGCUCGUAGGCGGUUUGUCGCGUCGUCUGUGAAAACCAGCAGCUCAACUGUUGGCUUGCAGGCGAUACGGGCAGACUUGAGUAUUUCAGGGGAGACUGGAAUUCCUGGUGUAGCGGUGAAAUGCGCAGAUAUCAGGAGGAACACCGGUGGCGAAGGCGGGUCUCUGGGAAAUAACUGACGCUGAGGAGCGAAAGCGUGGGUAGCGAACAG
rnacentral:rRNA from 1 species